UGUUUUUUUUUUUUUUUUUUUUUUUUUUUUUUUUUUUUUUCUUCU
rnacentral:ribozyme from 1 species